rnacentral:rRNA from 1 species
AUGCGCCAGCACGCCCCCGCCUACACGCCGGAGGCGGCCUCCGCGUCGGCCACGGGCGGCGCGGGCGAGCGGCACAGCCUGCCGGCGCUGCAGGCCAAGAUGAAGCGCGACCCGGAGGGGUACGAGACGGAGCUCCGCCAGCUGCAGCGCCACUUCGAGUCCUCGGUGUUCCUCUUCCGGCAGCAGGCGGCGCUGUCGUCGUCCUCCUCGGGCGGCGGCGGCGGCGGGGAGACGGCCAAGGAGCUCGGCGACCUCGCGCUCUUCCUCGCCCACGUCGCGCCCUUCUACCCCAACGACCUCGCCGACCUGCCCGACCACAUCGGGGGCCUGCUCGACACCAACGCCCGCGCGCUGCCGUCCGGCCUCCGGGUGCACCUCGUGCAGGCGCUCAUACUGCUGGUCAAUCGGAAGAUUGUUGAUCUGGAAGACACCAUGGAGUUAUUUAUGGAGCUUCAAGUCAUUGGAGAUCGAGCAGUAAAAAAGCUUGCAUUUUCGCAUAUUGUACACAGCAUCAGAAGGAUGAAUCAGAAGCACAAGAAUGAAGCCAAGAAUCGUAAACUGCAAGGCAUCCUUUUUAAAUUAGUACAGGGCGAGGAAGAGUCGAGAGCAAAGAGGGCUUUUACUAUCCUAUGUGAUCUUCACCGUCGAAGGGUCUGGUUUGAUGACCGCACGGCAAAUGCUAUAUGCGAUGCUUGUUUCCAUCCCUCUUCGAGGCUUAUGACAGCUGCUAUUUCAUUACUCAUUGGGUAUGAAAAUGUUGAGCAAGAGGAUGAUAGUGAUGCCAGUAGUGAAGAUGAAGCAAGUCAAAACCCAAAUAUUAUACUUAGUAAAGAAGAUGUCUACAAGGCAAAUCACAAGGGUACCUCUGCUAGUAAGAAAAAGAAGAAAGCUAAAUUGGAGCGUGUAGUUCGUAGUAUGAAAAGGCAACAACGUAAAUCCAAUGAGGAGACUGGCUCCAAUUACUAUUCGCCCCUUACGUAUUUAAAGGAUCCCCAGGGUUUUGCAGAGAAACUCUUCUCUCGGCUACAGAAAUGCAAUGAACGAUUUGAGGUAAGGAUGAUGAUGUUGAAGGUCAUAGCAAGGACUAUUGGCCUGCAUCACUUGGUUUUGUUGAACUUCUAUCCAUAUCUUCAAAGAUAUGUUCAACCUCACCAACGAGAUGUGACUACUCUACUUGCUGCAGCAGUACAGGCUUGCCAUGAGAUGGUGCCUCCUGAUGCUGUUGAACCGCUGUUCAAGCAGAUAGUAAAUCAAUUUGUGCAUGAUCGUUCCCGUCCUGAGGCUAUUGCUGUUGGCCUGAAUGUUGUGAGAGAGAUCUGCAUGCGAAUUCCUUUGAUGAUGAAUGAGGAUCUACUCCAAGACCUUGUUUUAUAUAAGAAGUCCCACGAGAAAGCUGUUUCUAUUGCCGCUCGCUCACUUAUCACAUUAUUCAGGGAGAUCUGUCCUUCAUUGUUAGUCAAGAAAGAUCGUGGCCGUCCUAUUGAUCCAACUGCUCGGCCAAAAGCAUUUGGAGAAACCACUAUUGCUAGUGAUGUGCCUGGAGCUGAGUUGCUAGAUGAAGAGAUGUCACCAGAGGGGGGUUCAGACGAUGAGUCUGAUGCUUUUGAUUCCGAUGACGAGGAAGUGUUGCCAUCUGCGAGUGGUACCCGGCAAAGUUUGGAGAGUUUAUCAAACAAGCUUGAUGCUAGUGAAGAUCAUGAAGAUGAAGUAUCUGGGGAACAAGAUGAUGCAGAGGAACUAGAGGAGGAUGAUAGUGACGACGAUAUGGAUGAACUAGAUGACGACUCUGACGUGGAUGGUGAUACUGAUGCGUCUGAUGAGGAUGAAGAUGAGGAGCUCAAUGACGAUUCAGAGAAUGAAGACUCGGACCAGGAGGUUGAAGACAGUGAUGAGGAGGAUAAAUCAAAGGGCAGCGGUUCCAAGGUGCAGAAGAGAAAGUUAAGUGAUUAUAUUGGACAACUUGAUGCUGCAGAUGCAAGCCUUCGAGCUCUGAAGAAGUUAGCAGGAGCUAAGAAGGCUGAAGCUUCAACAGAUGAAGCUGGCAGAAUUUUCGGCGAUGAAGAUUUUAAGCGCAUAAAAGAGCUCAAGGCAAAGAAAGCAGCAAAGUUGGCUUUGGUUCAACAUGGUCUCAGCAAGGGUGACACAAGAUCAGUGACCUUCAAACUUCCUUCUACUGAUGAGCUUAGCUUGAAGCGCGUUGAUCCAUCGGAGCUCGCGGCUCACGUCAAGAGAAAGAUGACCAAGGAAGAGAGAUUAGAGAUGGUGAAAGCUGGAAGGGAGGAUAGAGGAAAAUACCAAGCAAGAGCAGCUAUUAAACAGAAAAAGACGGGUGGUUCGAGCAAUAAGCAGAAACAGCACCAGAAGAGGAUGCCUCUGGCGGCAAAGAGAGCAAAGGCAGCGCGUUCUCGCCAGGAGAAGAAGACCAAAGCGAAGCACUCAGGAAAGCAGUUCAGGGGACGGAAGGCCUGGAAAUAA